CGUGCACGUGUCACAGACUGCAUGGCUGCUGGGGUUUGCCCAGGAGGCGCGGCAUGCAGGACGGGAGUGCCGGCGCCCCCCCUGGCUCGGCGCUGGACUCGACGGUUCGAAGGAGCGGCCGAGCUGGGCCCAGCGUCGGCCUGGGAGCCCUCGGGGGA
rnacentral:SRP_RNA from 1 species